rnacentral:rRNA from 1 species
UGUAUUCUGGAGAAGCGCUUUCUGUGCCGGACCGUGUACAAGUCCCUUGGAACAGGGCGUCGUAGAGGGUGAGAAUCCCGUCUUUGACACGGACCCCCGGUGCUGUGUGAUGCGCUCUCGAA